AGAGCACCAGCCCCGCGCCCGCUGACGGUUUAUGACCUUGGCCGACUAGCAAGCCCUUGUAAUGCCAUUACUGUCGGGGUCUCGCCAGCCUCUCGACCCAGAUGCGGUUGAAGGUCAGCCGCCGGGGGACGGGGGCUCUCCUGCCAUUGGAACAAGGUUACAAAGAAGAAUUUUUCCUGCCCAAGGAGCAUUUAUCGUGGGCUCCCUACGAAGCAUCCAACCACCAAGCCCAGGGUUUGGUCGCCACUGUCUGACUCCAGAACCGGCUGGCCCUGGCUUGGAUCUCCCUCAGAAUCAGAUUGUUUGCCUCGAACCCCCUACCUGCUCACGUUUUGCUCUUCUCCAUGGUCUGUGGGGGCCUGCUGUUCCCUACCUGGACCCCAAGUGGAAGGCACAGGAGAAGAGCG